rnacentral:rRNA from 1 species
GGGUUGUGAGGUUAAGCGACUAAGCGUACACGGUGGAUGCCCUGGCAGUCAGAGGCGAUGAAGGGCGUGCUAAUCUGCGAUAAGCGCCGGUAAGGUGAUAUGAACCGUUAUAACCGGCGAUACCCGAAUGGGGAAACCCAGUGUGAUUCGUCACACUAUCAUUAACUGAAUCCAUAGGUUAAUGAGGCGAACCGGGGGAACUGAAACAUCUAAGUACCCCGAGGAAAAGAAAUCAACCGAGAUUCCCCCAGUAGCGGCGA